rnacentral:rRNA from 1 species
AUUGAACGCUGGCGGCAUGCCUUACACAUGCAAGUCGAACGGCAGCACGGGGCAACCUGGUGGCGAGUGGCGAACGGGUGAGUAAUGCAUCGGAACGUGCCAUUGAGUGGGGGAUAACGUAGCGAAAGUUGCGCUAAUACCGCAUAUUCUGUGAGCAGGAAAGCAGGGGACCGCAAGGCCUUGCGCUCUUUGAGCGGCCGAUGUCAGAUUAGCUAGUUGGUGAGGUAACGGCUUACCAAGGCGACGAUCUGUAGCGGGUCUGAGAGGAUGAUCGCCACACUGGAACUGAGACACGGUCCAGACUCCUACGGAGGCAGCAGUGGGAAUUUGGACAAUGGCGCAAGCCUGAUCCAGCCAUGCCGCGUGAGUGAAG